UUAGCUCAGUACCGUGGAGAACGUGCCCUUAAGUGGGGGAUAAUCUCGGGAAAUUGAGGAUAAUACCCCAUAGGUCAUGGGAUCUGGAAUGACCCAUGGCUGAUAGUUCCGGCGCUUAAGGAUCGCUCUGCGGCCUAACAUGUUAGUAGUGGGUGUAACGUACCCCCUAGCCUACGACGGGUAUGGGCCUUGAGAGAGGGAGCCCAACAACAGACCCCAGAGACACGAAUCCAGGCCCUACGGGGCGCAGCAUUCUUCUUAAACUUCACACUGGGGGGAACCCCCCUGAGGGAAUUCCUAGUGCUUGGGCAUUUGUCCAAGCUUUUCCCGAGCGUAGAUUACUCGGGGAAUAAGGGCUGGGUAAGACGGGUGCCAGCCGCCGCGGUAAUACCUGCAGCCCGAGUGGUGGUCGAUUUUUAUUGAGUCUAAAGCGUUCGUAGCCGGUCCGUUAAUUCUUUGGGUAAAUCGGGAAGCUCAACUUUCCGACUUCCGAGGAGACUGGCGGACUUGGGACUGGAGAGCCAGAGUACAUUCUGGGGUAGGGUAAAUCCUGUAAUCUUAAAGACCACGGUGGCGAAUGCGUUCGCUAGACGAAUCGACGGUGAGGACGAGCCUGUCGAACGGAUAAUCUCGCAGUCAGGUAACUGCAAAAUGUGUGGGCCUACAGGGGGUCUA
rnacentral:rRNA from 1 species